UUCGACCACUUCGUCACCAAUCUCGCGUCCCAAAUUGCCCUUGGAAAGUCUCAUGCACUGUUGGUGCAAGUCCUCCAUAUAAAAAGCAAGAAGACAGUUGAGAUCGUUUGGACUUUUACAUGAUUGCUCACUGAUUAGUGGUACUUUUGUGGCAGCGGUUUGCUGGUCGUUGCGUUGAAUCGAAGCCGUCCUCCUACUUCGAUUUGCUGAAACGCAAGGGAAUGGAUGCAUCGGUGGUGGAUAAAUUGAAAGACUGCGUUCCACCAUUGGAGACUGCUCUAAAUUCCUCUAUUUAGGAAAAUAACGCUUUUGUCAGAGAUGUCUUGGUGGGCAAGGCAAGAAUCGAUUUGCAGUCGCAAUUGACCUGAUCAAAUUUCAUGUAUCUUUUGGUUCAUACACUCAGACCUUCAUGAACCCAGGUUCAUGCAUGUGUCUACUAUGGUUGCUAGUGUACAGCCAAUAACACAGUGCACCAAUCAACAAACAAGUCCAGCAAACUUGCUAUGGCUUCGGGAAGAAUUCUCAUAAAGCAAAAUUUCAUGUACGCCUUAAAUGUCACAAUGGACUGGUGAAGCUACUUGCAGAAGAGCUAUUCUUGGAUCAAGUUGCCAUUAAAUUUGCAAAUGUAACCUCUGACAAUACAUGUGUCAACAAGAGCCUUUUGCCAAAGGUCAGAGCCAAUGCAUUUUCUUGUCAUAUCUUUUGUAUCUAGGAGCCUGCAGGCCCACUUCCUCCUCACUCUAAAUCAGAAAUGCUACAAGCUUAAGUGAGUGAUUUGGUCAAAAGUUCAAUCCUCUUUAUAUUUUCAGUGGUCAAAAGUUGUUCUUCCAUAUGAACAUCAAGGUACAGAUCUAUAUCUGAGCUUAUUAUUCCAAAGUUGUUUAUGAAUUAUGAUAUGAUCUUUAUAUUUUAGUGGCCUUACUGUUCUUGUUAUUGCUAACCUAGUUUAUUGGAUUUCCUUGUGAUGAAAAUUACGUCAGUUACUGCAUACUGCAUUAUCUGAUAAUUAUUUCUGCAAGUUAUGGAGUUAUGUUCAUAAGAUGUUGAAAGUUUUGGUGUCUUAUCUUGCGGACAUGACACCUCCAUUACGUAGCUAAUUCAUUUAUGUUCGAGUUUAAAUUGUUACGAUAAGCUAGGUCAUUGGUUUGACACUAUUAGACUAGGAUUUUAGUAUGUCUACUAGAAGUAUGUUCAUUGACUUGGACAGUACUACUCUCUGUAGCCAACUUACUCUUGACAAUUAAUUUCUUAGAACACCUGAUGCUUGGGGACACAACAAAAAACUGCCCCUUGUUUGAUCGAAGAAAAAAUUUUAUUAUGCUUCAUUUAUGUGUUCUUGAUGACACAAGUUUUGUGUAACUAACAUUUUAGCAUGUCUACUAGAAGUAUGUUCAUUGACUUGGACAGUACUACUCUCUCUAGCCAACUUACUCUUGACAAUUAAUUUCUUAGAACACCUGAUGCUUGGGGACACAACAAAAAACUGCCCCUUGUUUGAUCGAAGAAAAAAAUUUAUUAUGCUUCAUUUAUGUGUUCUUGAUGACACAAGUUUUGUGUAACUAACAUUUUAGCAUGUCUACUAGAAGUAUGUUCAUUGACUUGGACAGUACUACUCUCUCUAGCCAACUUACUCUUGACAAUUAAUUUCUUAGAACACCUGAUGCUUGGGGACACAACAAAAAACUGCCCUUGUUUGAUUGAAGAAAAAAAAAAAUAUUAUGCUUCAUUUAUGUGUUCUUGAUGACACAAGUUUUGUGUAACUAAAAUAUUGCUUCUGGGUCAUACUAGUUUGUCUUGUAGUGUAGGUUUCAUAUAUUAGUUCUAUGAGCAAAAAGUACAAACACAAUAUUUUAUGCAUGUGUUCAUGGACUGUUGUUCAUGCUUUUUCUGUUUUGAUAUCAAAAGGAACAAGUCAAUAAUUCUAAUAAUGUAUAUAAUCAUAUCUCAUUUUAAGUUGUUCAUGGGAGUUAUGUUAAUCAACAAUUGAACAUAAUGCUCACUAAUAAGCUACCUAUUUUCAACAUAUAGAUAUGGUA